rnacentral:rRNA from 1 species
CCUACGGGGGGCUGCAGUGGGGGAUAUUGGACAAUGGGGGAAACCCUGAUCCAGCGACGCCGCGUGAGUGAAGAAGUAUUUCGGUAUGUAAAGCUCUGUCAGCAGGGAAGAACGAAAUGACGGUACCUGACCAAGAAGCCCCGGCUAACUACGUGCCAGCAGCCGCGGUAAUACGUAGGGGGCAAGCGUUAUCCGGAAUUACUGGGUGUAAAGGGAGCGUAGACGGUGAUGCAAGUCUGGAGUGAAAGGCGGGGGCCCAACCCCCGGACUGCUCUGGAAACUGUGUAACUUGAGGGCAGGAGAGGUAAGCGGAAUUCCUAGUGUAGCGGUGAAAUGCGUAGAUAUUAGGAGGAACACCAGUGGCGAAGGCGGCUUACUGGACUGUAACUGACGUUGAUGCUCGAAAGCGUGGGGAGCAAACAGGAUUAGAUACCCCUGUAGUC